rnacentral:rRNA from 1 species
UACAGAGGGGGCAAGCGUUGUUCGGAAUCACUGGGCGUAAAGCGCACGUAGGCGGCUUGUUAAGUCAGGGGGUGAAAUCCUGGAGCUCAACUCCAGAACUGCCUUUGAUACUGAAGAUCUUGAGUUCGGGAGAGGUGAGUGGAACUGCGAGUGUAGAGGUGAAAUUCGUAGAUAUUCGCAAGAACACCAGUGGGCGAAGGCGGCUCACUGGCCCGAUACUGACGCUGAGGCACGAAAGCGUGGGGGAGCAAAACAGG